CUCCUAUUAUUUAUAUUGUAUCUCGUAGAUUAAUAGGUAAAUCAUGAAUUUUUGGUAUUCAAUAGUGGGUGUUCGAAUCACCUC
rnacentral:tRNA from 1 species